rnacentral:rRNA from 1 species
GGAUAUCCAAGGUUUCCAGGGUAAAGCUGAUCUGCCCUGGGUAAGUCGGGGCCUAAGGUGAGGACGAGAGUCGUAGCCGAUGGACAACAGGUGGAGAUUCCUGUACUAUGAUAUGACAGAACUGUGGGGACACGUGCAGAGAGCGGAAGCCGGGAACGGUAUCCCGGUGCAAGCGAGGUACCAGAUGCGUUGGAAAAACCGCGCAUCAAUGGGAAGACGUGAUGCGGAAUGAAGUUUAGUAAUGAAGUCCGUGAGCUGUGCGUCAAGAAAAGCCGCUAUUGUUCAUACCAUACCCGUACCGUAAACCGACACAGGUGGAUGAGGAGAGAAUCCUAAGGCCGGCGGAAGAAGCAUUGUCAAGGAACUCGGCAAAAUGACCCCGUAACUUCGGGAGAAGGGGUGCCACUGAGAAGUGGCCGCAGAGAAUAGGCUCAAGCAACUGUUUAGCAAAAACACAGGUCUAUGCGAAACCGUAAGGUGAUGUAUAUGGGCUGACGCCUGCCCGGUGCUGGAAGGUUAAGAGGAGAGGUUAGCGGAAACGCGAAGCUUUGAAUUUAAGCCCCAGUAAACGGCGGCCGUAACAAUAACGGUCCUAAGGUAGCGAAAUUCCUUGUCGGGUAAGUUCCGACCCGCACGAAAGGCGUAAUGAUUUGAGCGCUGUCUCGACAAUGCAUCCGGUGAAAUUGAAGUACCAGUGAAGAUGCUGGUUACCUGCGCCAGGACGGAAAGACCCCAUGGGGCUUUACUCCAGUUUGGUACUGGGAUCCGGUACUGCAUGUACAGGAUAGGUGGGAGGCUGAGAAAUGGUAACGCCAGUUGCCAUGGAGCCGCUGUUGGGAUACCACCCUUGCAGUAUUGGGUUUCUAACCAGCCGCCGUGACCCGGCGGUGGGACAAUGCCAGACGGGGAGUUUGACUGGGGCGGUCGCCUCCAAAAGGGUAUCGGAGGCGCCCAAAGGUUCCCUCAGGAUGGACGGAAACCAUCCAAAGAGUGCAAAGGCAGAAGGGAGCUUGACUGCGACACCGACGGGUGGAGCAGGUACGAAAGUAGGGCUUAGUGAUCCGGUGGUAUUAAGUGGGAAUGCCAUCGCUCAACGGAUAAAAGCUACCCUGGGAUAACAGGCUUAUCACUCCCAAGAGUUCACAUCGACGGAGUGGUUUGGCACCUCGAUGUCGGCUCAUCGCAUCCUGGGGCUGUAGUAGGUCCCAAGGGUUGGGCUGUUCGCCCAUUAAAGCGGUACGCGAGCUGGGUUCAGAACGUCGUGAGACAGUUCGGUCCCUAUCCGGCGUGGGCGUAGGAUAUCUGAGAGGAGCUGUCCUUAGUACGAGAGGAGCGGGAUGGACGGGCCGCUGGUGCACCGGUUAGACUGCCAAGUCUAUAGCCGGGUAGCCAAGCCCGGAAGGGAUAAACGCUGAAGGUAUCUAAGCGUGAAGCCCCCCUCAAGAUGAGAUAUCCCAUCCGAAAGGAGUAAACCCCCUUGAAGACGACGAGGUUGAUAGGGCAGAGGUGGAAGUGUGGUAACACAUGGAGCUGACUGCUACUAAUAGGGUGAGGGCUUGACC